CACUCCUGCGGGAGGCAGCAGUGGGGAAUAUUGGACGAUGGGCGCAAGCCUGAUCCAGCCAUGCCGCGUGAGUGAUGAAGGCCCUAGGGUUGUAAAGCUCUUUCACCGGUGAAGAUAAUGACGGUAACCGGAGAAGAAGCCCCGGCUAACUUCGUGCCAGCAGCCGCGGUAAUACGAAGGGGGCUAGCGUUGUUCGGAUUUACAGGGCGUAAAGCGCACGUAGGCGGACUAUUAAGUCAGGGGUGAAAUCCCGGGGCUCAACCCCGGAACUGCCUUUGAUACUGGUAGUCUUGAGUUCGAGAGAGGUGAGUGGAAUUCCGAGUGUAGAGGUGAAAUUCGUAGAUAUUCGGAGGAACACCAGUGGCGAAGGCGGCUCACUGGCUCGAUACUGACGCUGAGGUGCGAAAGCGUGGGGAGCAAACAGGAUUAGAUACCCGGGUAGUCCC
rnacentral:rRNA from 1 species